rnacentral:rRNA from 1 species
UACGUAGGGUGCGAGCGUUGUCCGGAAUUAUUGGGCGUAAAGAGCUCGUAGGCGGUGUGUCGCGUCGGCCGUGAAAACCUGCAGCUUAACUGUGGGCUUGCGGUCGAUACGGGCAUCACUGGAGUUCGGUAGGGGAGACUGGAAUUCCUGGUGUAGCGGUGAAAUGCGCAGAUAUCAGGAGGAACACCAGUGGCGAAGGCGACUUUCUGGACAGAUACUGACACUGAGGCACGAAAGCGUGGGGAGCAAACAGG